GUAUAUUUAUUUUAAAGGUACAUAAAGCACCCAAUUCAACAUUCUAAACAAAUCCAUAGGUUUGUGAAAUAAAUGACAUAGACCUGAAAAAAUACAAGGGAAAGCCGGUGGUUAGCACAGCAGUCCCCAACUCGAUUCCAAAAGAAUCACUCAGGUCUACAAAGAGUGCACAGUUGGAGAAAAUAAAGAUGACAAGCGUGCACAUACCCGAUGAAGGGACAGCAACAGCCUGUUCAAGUUUAUUCGAUAAUGAUCCUUCCGCAGGUUCACCUACGGAAA
rnacentral:misc_RNA from 1 species